GAAUUGACCUUAGAAGUUUGC
rnacentral:siRNA from 1 species